UUUUUCUUUUUUUUUCUUUUUUUUUUUUUUUUUUUUUUCUCCAAA
rnacentral:ribozyme from 12 species